AUUGAACGCUAGCGGGAUGCUUUACACAUGCAAGUCGAACGAGUGGCGGACGGGUGAGUAAUAUAUCGGAACGUGCCCAGUAGCGGGGGAUAACUACUCGAAAGAUUGGCUAAUACCGCAUACUAUUGUAGCGGCCGAUAUCGGAUGAGCUAGUGGGUGGGGUAAAGGCUCACCAAGGCAACGCUCCGUAGCUGGUUUGAGAGGACGACCAGCCACACUGGGACUGAGACACGGCCCAGACUCCUACGGGAGGCAGCAGUGGGGAAUUUUGGACAAUGGGCGAAACUCUGAUCCAGCAAUCCCGCGUGUAUGAGAAGGCCUUCGGUUUGUAAAGUACUUUUGGCAGAGAAGCGGUAUCUGAAGAAUAAGCAACGGCUAACUACGUGCCAGCAGCCGCGGUAAUAC
rnacentral:rRNA from 1 species